AAGCCUGGUCCUGACUUUAUUAUCAGCCUUAACCUAACUUAUACAUGCAAGUAUCCGCAUCCCCGUGAGAAUGCCCCUAAAUCCUGCCCGGAAGCAAGGAGCAGGUAUCAGGCACACUAACCGUAGCCCAAGACACCUUGCUCAGCCACACCCCUAAGGGAACUCAGCAGUAAUAAACAUUAGGCAAUAAGUGUAAACUUGACCUAGUCCCGGUUAAUAAGGGCCGGUAAAGCUCGUGCCAGCCACCGCGGUCAUACGAUGUUGUGCCCAAGCAGAUAAUCCACGGCGUAAAGUGUGGUUAGGGAGACACUACAACUAAAGCUAAACGCUGACCAAGCCGUGAUACGCAUUUGGCAGCAUGAAACCCCACCACGAAAGUGGCUUUAAACAAACCUGAACCCACGAAAGCCAGGAAACAAACUGGGAUUUGAUACCCCACUAUGCCUGGUCGUAAACAAUGAUAGACAUCCACAGCGUCUAUCCGCCUGGGAACUACGAGCCCCCCGCUUAAAACCCAAAGGACUUGGCGGUGCUUUAGACCCACCUAGAGGAGCCUGUCCUAGAACCGAUACCCCCCGUUCAACCUCACCACUUCUAGCUCAAUCCGCCUAUAUACCGCCGUCGUCAGCUCACCCCGUGAGGGUCAAAUAGUGAGCUUAAUCGGCACAGCCCAGAACGUCAGGUCAAGGUGUAGCGCACGAAGUGUGGCAGAGAUGGGCUACAUUUUCUGACACAGAAAACCACAGAUAGGAUUCAUGAAACCUUCCUUGAAGGAGGAUUUAGCAGUAAGCAGGUAAUAGAGUGACCCGCUGAAACCGGCCCUUAAGCGCGUACACACCGCCCGUCACUCUCCCCACAACUUAACCUUAGUACAACAUAAUGAACCAACAAGUAUUCAGGGGAGGCAAGUCGUAACACGGUAAGCAUACCUGAAGGUGCGCUUGGAUAACCCAGGGUGUGGCUAAAUAGCAAAGCGCCUCCCUUACACCGAGAAGAUGUCCGUGCAAAUCGAACCACUCUGAUUCUAAAAAGCUAGCCCACCCCCUAAGAAAUCAACCCCCUUUAAACCUAACUACCACAAAACAAUAAACAAACCAUUUUCCCUCCCUAGUACAUGGGCGACAAAAAAGG
rnacentral:rRNA from 1 species